rnacentral:rRNA from 1 species
GACGAACGCUGGCGGCGUGCUUAACACAUGCAAGUCGAACGAAAAGAGGGAAAGAGCUUGCUCUUUCCGGAAUUGAGUGGCAAACGGGUGAGUAACACGUAAACAACCUGCCUUCAGGAUGGGGACAACAGACGGAAACGACUGCUAAUACCGAAUAAGUUCCAAGGGCCGCAUGGCCCAUGGAAGAAAAGGUGGCCUCUACCUGUAAGCUAUCGCCUGAAGAGGGGUUUGCGUCUGAUUAGCUGGUUGGAGGGGUAACGGCCCACCAAGGCGACGAUCAGUAGCCGGUCUGAGAGGAUGAACGGCCACACUGGAAUUGAGACACGGUCCAGACUCCUACGGGAGGCAGCAGUGGGGAAUCUUCCGCAAUAGGCGAAAGCCUGACGGAGCAACGCCGCGUGAGUGAUGACGGCCUUCGGGUUGUAAAACUCUGUGAUCCGGGACGAAAAGGCAGAGUGCGAAGAACAAACUGCAUUGACGGUACCGGAAAAGCAAGCCACGGCUAACUACGUG